AAAAGUCGUAACAAGGUUUCCGUAGGUGAACCUGCGGAAGGAUCAUUAACACUUUUUAUUAUUUUGUUUUUUUUCUAAAAACAAAAUUUAAAACCCCACAAUUUUGGAUGAAUUUAAUUAAUUUAUUUUUUAUUUUAUUUUUUUUAUUAUAACCCUAUUAUUUGACUAACAUUUUUAUUUAAUUAUUAAAAAUUAAAAAAACAACUCUUAACAACGGAUAUCUUGGCUCUC
rnacentral:misc_RNA from 1 species